rnacentral:lncRNA from 1 species
AUCUCUGCGUGACUUCCGCCAGCGUUUAGAGCGUUUUCGGGGUCCGAGUUGAAGAGCAAAACCAAGUGAAGGAAACUUCACUAAGUUCAGGGUGACAAGGGAGGAAGUACAGAGUGAACUAUUGGCAUGGCUCAAUCCAUUGACCUGUUUUGGUUCCUGAUGAAGUUUUGUUAAUUUAAAUGAGAAAAAUAAGGACAGUGAAAAACAGAGCGCUUAAAAAGCACUGUCUGGAUAUCUUCAGAGGGAAAAAGGAGAAAGUUAACUGAAUUGGUGACACUUCGGGUCUCUCACAGAGGAAGGUAAGGUUUCAGUCAACAGCACAUAGAGGAUUAUCCUCAUUUACCCAGGACUGACAGUGUUUGUGAAUUCUAAAGCUGUGCAUGUAGUGAAUAUACAAGAUAAAAUUGAAAUGAGAAUAACGGAAUAGCAUUGUAGAAAUGAUUAAAAUGUACCCAAGCCCCAAGUUUUCAGAUAACAUGAUAGUUUUCUAAUGGUGAAACUGUUUAAGAUGUAUAGUCAUAAAAAAGAUUAAAAAAAAUAAGAAACAGUUGUAUAGCCAACUUUUAAUAAUCUGUGUUAUAGACUCCAUAGCAGAUCUGAAGGUAGCUAUAUGCCAGCAGCAGAAGGUGCACCCUGGAGCACAGUUUUGUAGCAGUUCUCCAAGCUGACCAGCUGAGGACUAGUGACCCUACUUAAGAACAGUUGGCUAAGAGGAUAGUCAAGUGAGGGGAAUGUGCUACAAGAGAAUCAUAGUAGAUAGAGAUGCAAACAAAAGGGAGAGUCUUUCUUCUUGUUCCUUUCUGAUCUGUAGAACCUGCAGGCCCACUGUAGAGCUCCCAUUGGAGUACAGUGGAGCAUGAAGAGAGAAUCCUUAGGAGAGCUUGUCAAGGAAUUUGGGGGAGGAGUGUGUUUGCAAACAUGGGGGAAAGUACUUAUUAAUCAUUUAGAUGUUCUGCAGGCAGAAAGCUUACUAGUGUAGUGUGUAGGGCUGCAAGCCACCAAAGUAAUGACUACUUGAAAGAGGACCAAUAGUUUCUGAAGCUCUGUGUGAAAAGAUACAGUGGUUGGGGUGGGGUGCGGAAUCUCUAGAGCAGCUCAUACAGCCACAGGGCAAAGAGAGGGAACCCCCACACGGAAAAAAAGAUUGCAGCAGGGAUGGAGAGCUAGUAGCUUUAGGAUGACUAGACACUUCUGAAAGUGAGCACUCUGUCCUUACAGAGACCACCAAACCAACAGAAGCCACCAGGACAGCACACAGCCAUUCCAAAAUUCCAGACCAGGAUCAUUCCAGAAAAGCCUUACAUCUCAGUCCAGUAUAUGGAUGGUUUUGUAAGAUGACCUAUGAUUUUUCUGUUCCUCCUUCCUGCCCCUAACUUCAGAGAAACAGACCUAGAAAGAGGGAAGGAAGGAGUGAAAAAGCGUGCCAUACUUUAUCUUCUCCCCUUCUGUUUUAAACUAGACAAAUCUAUAUUUUAAUUAUUAUAAGUAACCAGAAAGUUAUAUGGUCUGGCCAGGAUGGCAUUAAAGAAAAUGAGAGAGAAAAGUUUAAGAUAGCAUGGUUGGAGACAAUAAGUAGAAGAAACCAAGUAGUUCAAGUUUUAUAACGCUCUAUCUUAUAAACACUCUUGAACCAAUAAUAAUGCUAUUACUGAAAUGCUACACACAAUUGAAGACUACUUGUUAGACCAAGACCUUAAAAACUUCUUUACUGAUUAUUCCCAAUGUGUGGCCCUGGUAAUCAUUGAAGAAUCAUUGUAUUGACUAUUAAACAUCUAGGGAUCACCUGUUUAAAUCAAGUUAACAAAACACUUACUUAACAAAUAUAUAUUGAUUGCCUAUUAUGAAGUAGAUGCUAUAGUAGGUGCUGGCAGUAUAAACAUGAAAAGAGACAUUGUGUGUGCAUAUUAAUAUACAGCAAAUUAAACUUCAGCCAGAGAAGUACUUUACUAGAAGGUUGAUAGAAGUGUGGUGGUAGCUUGCAGGAGGAAGCAGUUAGCCUCCUUGGAAAUGAGUAAUCUUCACAGAAAGUAUGACAUUUGACCUGCUUCUUGGAGAAGAUGCAUAUUAAACCUAUUAAAUCCAUGUCAGCCUUUAACACCUUUGCUCAGAUUAGUUUCUCGAGCUGUUUUCCCACCUGGUGAGCAGAUAAGAGCAGGACAGGAAAGUUCUGAUGAAAGGAAGAAGUGCCAGAGAGAGAAGGCCUUGCAAGCAAAGAAGCCUGACAGGCAGGAGCCCCUGAGUAUCCUAAGGAGAAGUACCAGCGAUUUAGGGAAGAAAAUUGCUGCCAGAAGUGCAGGAAAUAAAAAUUCUGACCUAGAUCAUUUUA